UACCAGAAAAAAGCUAUUGCAUUCUGGUGCCCUCUAAAUGCUGACGUAGACUCCACAGAUGACAUAUGUUGGACGCUCCCGGACUUCGACGAGAGCAAGUUGAUUCAAAGAAGGAGCAAUUCUAAAUGCGACGCCGUGACAACAACAAAGGCUGGAGAACGGCCCACAGGUCCAUCAAUUCGAUUUUGGUGUCCACUGGAUGUCACUCUGGAAUCAUCCGAUAACAUAUGUUGGAAAAUCCCAACAUUCUAAGCAUCAACCCAACGACGAACUAAACUUGGGGCACCGAGAUGAAAAAGUUUAGUUCGAAUUCGAAGAUCGAUGAGUGACUCAGAUGCUUGAAUUUCGGUGCCAACUAAAUGUCAGUGUGGAAUCAUCCGACGACAUUGCCGCAAGGACUAUGUUGGUACGAAUGGAACUUUCAUCACAUUCACCGUUGGACUUCAGGCUGACGACUCUGGUUCUUAUAACCAGAAUACAAAUGUGGAAAAAACUUACACAGAUUCAAUUCAAAAUUCUGUCGCUACCCAGUCCGAAUAAAAUGGACUGGCACUCCGAACGCUGAAAAUUUAAAAGGAAAACUGAUAUUCUGACUUCAACCCUCAAAAGUGAAAGAUUGACCGCGCUUUUUAGGCGGAGUCAUCACAUUGUCAAAAUAGAAUUUUGGACAUGAUGAUAUAUGUAUUCUGUAUCUCUGUA